rnacentral:rRNA from 1 species
UACGUAGGGGGCUAGCGUUGUCCGGAAUCAUUGGGCGUAAAGCGCGUGUAGGCGGCCCGGUAAGUCCGCUGUGAAAGUCGGGGGCUCAACCCUCGAAUGCCGGUGGAUACUGUCGGGCUCGAGUACGGGAGAGGCGAGUGGAAUUCCUGGUGUAGCGGUGAAAUGCGCAGAUAUCAGGAGGAACACCGGUGGCGAAGGCGGUUCUCUGGGACGGUACUGACGCUGAGACGCGAAAGCGUGGGGAGCGAACAGG